GCGCGGUAUAAUUUUUAAUAUGCAACCAUUUGAACAUAAGAACAUUCAAGAUCGUUUGAUAUAUUUUGAUUUGUUUAUCUGAGGAAGGAAGUCAAGGCAUAUUGAAAGUUGGCAAUGAUCAAUUAUAAAUUAGCCUUGAAUCAUAAGAUUGAAGAUUGGACUAAACGUUAUUCUUGAUCAAGAUACCUUUUAUAUGUCUUAAAAUUUAUUAAGCUUAAAUAGUGUAAUAUGAAAAUACUAUUCAAACAAUCUCAGAAAAAUAUAUUAAUAAUACGUUAAUAAAAUAUAUUAAUAAAAAUAGAGUAAUAAUUGUAUUUCUCUUGAUUAUCGAUCACCGAAAACAUUCAUUUUAAAAAUAAUAACAUUUUCAGCGCAGUUCAUUGCAAUGUCCAUGUGUCAUUGUACAUGUUUCUAAAGUUUUUUCUGAAACCAAAUAUUUGUUAAGAAAAGUACUCAGCAAAUCUUUCUCGUGAACAUGGAGCAUGGAUAUGUUCCCGGACAUUUGUUAUAUCAGUUAGAUAGCAUAAUCUUGGCACGAUGGUUCCAGCCAAUUACGGUAGUCAUCCGAAGACCUUGUUGCAAGGGCAACGAAGUGGAAAUGUGUACUCCGGAAGUGUCUAAACAGGCAACUUAAUUUUCAUUUCUGGUUUAAAUUAUAUUAGAUUAACUUGUAGAAUAGGCGACGCACAUACAAAAUAUAUUAGAAGAUUGAAGAGAAAGCAAUAACGAAAAUAACGAGAAAGACACGAAAAUUUUUAUUGUUACAUUUAUUUAUAUUGAUAAUUUAAUAUUUCACGUUGAUGAAAAUGUCUCUUAAAGUCUGAUAUAAUUCUUAAAAUAUUUGUUAUACAAAAUAUAAUAUGAAAAUGUGUAAAUAUAAUUCUCAAAUUUUAUAUAAUCGAUCAUAAUAGGUUUAAUGAAAUUAGCUGAUUAUGAACUGAACUGAAAACAGUAUUUUAUAUACAACGAUUCAAUAUUAGUUCAAAAUUUUGAAACAAUCUAAAGCAUCCAUGUCAGAAACAUUUUGUCUUCCGAAACAUAUAGGUAUACUAUAAUAGCGAAUUAACAGGAAACAUCUAUCAUUAAUUCGAAAGUAAAAAAUUUUGAUAAAUGAGGUCGUUAUCGUUUUUCUAUAUUGUCACUAUAUUGUGACAUGAUGUGUCGAUAAAUGACUAUACUGGAAUCAUUCAAGCUGUUGUACAUCGGAAAAGUGAUUUGUCCGUUUGCGAUACAGAAUCACUUUUUUCUUCAUAUUUCUUCUUUUAUUCGUAUUUCUUUCGCAUUCCUUCGUCGUCGCUAAACGGUUAAAAAAA